GAUGAACGCUGGCGGCGUGCCUAAUACGUGCAAGUCGAGCGAACGGACGAGAAGCUUGCUUUUCUGAUGUUAGCGGCGGACGGGUGAGUAACACGUGGAUAACCUACCUAUAAGACUGGGAUAACUUCGGGAAACCGGAGCUAAUACCGGAUAAUAUUUUGAACCGCAUGGUUCAAAAGUGAAAGACGGUCUUGCUGUCACUUAUAGAUGGAUCCGCGCUGCAUUGGCUAGUUGGUAAGGUAACGGCUUACCAAGGCAACGAUGCAUAGCCGACCUGAGAGGGUGAUCGGCCACACUGGAACUGAGACACGGUCCAGACUCCUACGGGAGGCAGCAGUAGGGAAUCUUCCGCAAUGGGCGAAAGCCUGACGGAGCAACGCCGCGUGAGUGAUGAAGGUCUUCGGAUCGUAAAACUCUGUUAUUAGGGAAGAACAUAUGUGUAAGUAACUGUGCACAUCUUGACGGUACCUAAUCAGAAAGCCACGGCUAACUACGUG
rnacentral:rRNA from 1 species